rnacentral:rRNA from 1 species
GACGAACGCUGGCUGCGUGCUUAACACAUGCAAGUCGAACGCUGAAGCCGACAGCUUGCUGUUGGUGGAUGAGUGGCGAACGGGUGAGUAACACGUGAGUAACCUGCCCCUGAUGUCGGGAUAAGCCUGGGAAACUGGGUCUAAUACCGGAUACGACCACGGAACGCAUGUUUCGUGGUGGAAAGUUUUUCGAUCGGGGAUGGGCUCGCGGCCUAUCAGCUUGUUGGUGGGGUAAUGGCCUACCAAGGCGACGACGGGUAGCCGGCCUGAGAGGGCGACCGGCCACACUGGGACUGAGACACGGCCCAGACUCCUACGGGAGGCAGCAGUGGGGAAUAUUGCACAAUGGGGGAAACCCUGAUGCAGCGACGCAGCGUGCGGGAUGACGGCCUUCGGGUUGUAAACCGCUUUCAGCAGGGAAGAAGCGAAAGUGACGGUACCUGCAGAAGAAGUACCGGCUAACUACGUGCCAGCAGCCGCGGUAA